ACUGAGUUAGGUCAAAUUAUUUUAUGCCUUUAUUCUCAAAUUUAUUUAUGCUUUUCCUUGUAUAACUACUAGCAGUUUGAAAACAGUUUUAUUAAUUAACAAGCUGGGACGCAAUAUAUCAUCACAUCUUUAGAGCUUUGGCGCCAGCUAGUGGUAGUAGUGAGGAACUGCACAGUCAUGUUCAAACCCCAAAGUCUUGUUUUGCCAAUUGCCUUUCUCCUGUUUCUCCCACGUUUUUCUUCAUCAACACAAUGGGGGAAUUCUUGCAAUCGGUCAGCGAGGAAUAGAAGGAAUUAUAGAUGAAUUCAGAAAGACCAGUAGGCGAGAGGCAAAGGGAGGAGAGGCCAGACAAACGCAAGCACUUUCCUAAAGGAUUUGAGACCAUUUGUUUCUUUAGAUUCCUGGCAUUCGAUAGAGCAGUUCAGAUUUUGCCAAUGACUUUUGAGCCUUUUGUUUUUUCAUUUGUAGAUAGGUUUGAAUACAUACCUAAGCCACGUGGUGACUAUGAACCUCACCAGAACAGCCCCGAGGAACCCUAUCUGUGUUGGUUAUGGAGAACAAGGACCAUCCAAGCUGGGAAGCACUUCUUGUGUUGUUUUUGGAAGGGACCACACUGAGCAAAUCAACCUGUGCACCGGGGACUCUGCUGAGGAAAUCUGAGAGUGAUGGACAGCAUAGAAGUGACUUCAGUGUUCCUGUGAAAGCUGUCACUUUCUCUGCAGAGUGCUGUGACCCGUGUGGUAAGCAGUGGAGGUUAAUGUCACCUUUCAUGCCUGUGUGGAGGAGAAGCAAGGACGCACGUGAAGACGGCACAUGGUCAGAGACAAGAUGGCUUCUGGACAGAUGCUGGGCAUAUGUCAACUGGCGGUCUUUCCUCUCAUGGAAAUCACAUUGAAACUCCCCACAACCACAGCUCUGAGCAGCGUGGGAAGACAAAGACAGCUGUGCCCGCUGGCGGCCUCAGAUGUUCCCACAGCAGCGCUACACUGCAGGGUCCCCAGGGUCAUCAAAUAUGCAGAAGGAUGUUGGAGUCCUUUGUAUCACAGCCAGAAAUGCCAUGUGCUCGGCGUUGGAUCGCACUGGGCUCUUGUUCCUGCCAGUAGAAGAUUGUGAGAAAGGGGAAAUGGCUCUUUUAUCAAACUGUAUGCUGAUAGCAGAUUACGGGUGUCUUUGUGAGCUAUAGAAUGACAGAUUUUCCAGGUUCUUGUUCAAGAAAAAUGGCUAACUGAGAACUGUACUGGAAUAAGAGCCCGACCAUUCCAGAAGAAAAUCACUGUCCUUAGUUCUCACUGAAAUCCAUUUUUAAAGGCUACAGCCUGCCUGUCCUCCUUGAGAAGAGCCAGCCUCAGCCUGCACCGCAAAGCCUGUUGGGUAGUUAGCUGCUUUUAGUUGAUUAGCUCGGGAAAACUAGAGCUACCUUGAAACUCCCUGGUGGCUGGGGAUGCCGGGAAAUGCCACUGGGUGAAAGAGCACAUGGCCACACAGCAGAUGCCUCCUCCAUUUCCCUUCAGACGUGAGACUUCUUGCAGUGGGAGAUAUACAGCUUUCAUAACUGAGAACUAGAAUAUCCAACUUGGGUGACAUUUUUUUCCUCUUCUAUUUAAGCUGUUUUUCUUUUCUUUUUUAUUUUAAAGAUUUAUUUAUUAUAUGUAAGUACACUGUAGUUGUCUUCAGAUACACCAGAAGAGGGCAUCAGAUCUCAUUACGGGUGGUUGUGAGCCACCAUGUGAUUGCUGGGAUUUGAACUUCGGACCUUCGGAAGAGCAGUCGGGUGCCCUUACCCACUGAGCCAUCUCACCAGCCCCAAGUUGUUUUUCUUAACACAGCUAAGAGUACUGUGUUUUCGGAGUUUUGUCUUUUCUGAAUGACUGGGAAGAUUAACAGGAGCUUAAUAUUAUUUCACUGGUCAGUGUUGGCCAAUGGGAAGAGUAAGUGGGUUUCUAUACCAGCAGCCCUUGGUCCAGUUUAAGCAAACAUUUCCUAAGUGACAGGGAUGAGAGAAUAGAAAUUUGUUCAAUAAAUUUGCCAAUGAAAAAGUAGGGCAUGGUAGUUUGCCUCUUAUUAGAGCUGGUAUUAAACGGUGUAAGUAAAACGGAAGAAGAGGAGGAAAAGAGGAAGGAACAACAACAACAACAGAUACAUGGAAACUGUGAAAGUUUAGAAGGCUGGUUAUGUGUAGUACUAGGGCAAACAUCACAGCACAAGCCGGGACCUGUUAUUUACAACACACCUUAAGAUAUAACAAAUUGUGAUCAAGAUCCAUGUCUUGGAACAAACAGGUCAUCAGCUGUCUUUUUCACACUAGGUCAACGGAACAUGUCCUCUGCACAGGAGGUGGUAAAAAUGGAGCCCUCUAUGAUUCUGAGGUGGGUCGCUGCUUUCAUUAACUCUAGGCUGUAGCCUCGAUGGUUGCUGGCCUGAAAGGCAGGCUGAGUACAUGUGUGGAUUUAGACUGAGGACAUCCACAAGGCUCCCACGGAGGGAGAGAUUCCGACUCUAACGAGCUGAGCGACCUUGACCCAGCCCUUCAGCAUCGAGGGCCUUCCUUUUUUCAGCCAGGAAACAGAUCUCCUCAGGGAGUAAUGAGAAACUGAACUGUUCUCAGUGUCUGAGAAGAUGUAAAGAAACCAUGUUAGUUUCUAAUAAGACUAUUUCUUAAAAAAAAAGAAGUUCAUGUAGUGGGCAAAGCUCUUUCUCAUUAUUUCGUUUUAAGUAACGUUAGGUCUAUGAGUUGUACCCAGCAUUAGGUCUCACUGGGAGGUUCCUGUGUGUGUGUGUGUGUGUGUGUGUGUGUGUGUGCUUUGCUUGGUCUCAUACUUUGUCUCCUCCCCCCACUCUCACUCUCCUUAACCCAUCCUAUCCCCACCAUGACCAUUCCACAAAUGUCAGACUUUUAUUUUCAGGACGUGUCUGUUUAUUUCUUUUCUUUUCAGAGUCCACAUAUUAGAGACAAUGCUAUUUAUUCUAUGUCAGGCCAAGUUUGCUCUGGAUAAUUUCUGGUUCCACCUCUUUCCCUGCAACAGUGUGAUUUCAUUCUCUGUGGCUAAGCAAACUCUGCUGUUGCGUGUGCCAGAUUUUCUUCAUUUGUUCAUCUGUUCCUGACACCUAGGGUGGCUUCAUAUUUUGGUUAUCAUGAAUAGAGCCUGCAGUAAGCAUGGAUGGGCAGGCAUCUCUUUUAUAUACCAAGCUCAUUUCCUGGGAUAUAUGUGUUCUGUUUUUAGGUUUUUGAGGAACCACCAUAAUGGUUUCCAUAGUAGCUGCGCUAACUAAUAUUCUUUUUUUAAAAUUCAUUUAUUUAUUUUAUGUAUAUGAGUACACUGUAGCUGUCUUUAGACACACCAGAAGAGGGCAUCAGUUCUCAUUAUGGGUGGUUGUGAGCCACCAUGUGGUUGCUGGGAAUUGAACUCAGGACCUACAAGAGCAGUCAGUGCUCUUACCUGCUGAGCCAUCUCGCCAUCCCUAAUUAAUAUUCUUACCAGCAAUGUUUAGUUCUUCCUCUACAACAUCACAAGCAUUGUUAUUUUUAGUGAGUAGAGUCCUAUAAAAACAUAAAUAUACAUAAGAAAAAAAUACUUUUUAGUCAAGAGUUGGGAAAUGCUCCAGACUCUGGAUUAAGCCACAACAUGGCCCUGAGCUCCAAAUACAACUGAGAACCCCCAAACAGCUGUUUGCUCUGAACUGAGAGUGGAGAACACCUGCCGGCAGACAGGGUUCAGCCUCAAGGAAGCGAGGUUCUCACUAUUAGCUCUUGGCCAGCUGCUAUCAAUGCAUUGACUUAUCUAAUCCUCAAACCUGUGCAAGGUGGUGGGGAGGUGGUCAAUAUCCACCUUGGGGAAGAGGAAUCUGAAACACAAAGGUAACACUGAUUAAACUCAUUAUGCGGUGGGGCAUGACUAAUGGUCUGGGUUACAAUGAUUUGGAGUCCCAGCUGAUGUGGCCAUUGAUUCCACAGUAAUGAGAAAGGUAGAUAAGGAGAGCAACUCUAGGCUUCUUUUAUUCUCCAAGGAUGAGAUCAGCGGCUCUGGACUAAGGAAUCUUGUUCCUGGAAGCCCUCUAGAAAUGAGCACCUAUGUGAUCUUGCUUAAGCCGUUCUAUCUUGUUUUUAAAGAUAGGUUUUGUUUUCAGCUGGGUGCAUGUGCGUAUCUGUGUGGGGGUCUGUGUGCAUGAGUGCAGGUGUCUGUAGAUGCUGGGAGGUGUAAGAUCCCCUUGGAGCUCCAGCUACAGGUGGUUGUGAGCUGCUUGGUGUGGGUUUUUGGAACCAAACUCUGGUCCUCUGAAAGAUCAGGCAUGCUAUUAACUCUUGCUGCCUCUCUAGCCUCUUCCUCCGUCUUGAGUGAUAACCCCCACAUCUGUAAAAUGAGGUUGUAUUCCUGCUCCUGAUAGAACAGAGAGGAUACUGAAUAGUGAUUGAUCUGCAAGUGCUAGAGUCACGUGGAAGGUUGAAGGAGGGCGUCUCACCUUCAGUGACACCUCAGUGACAACAGCUAUCUGUUUAACAAGCAUCCACUGUGUAGAGGUGAAGAGGUGAAGAGACAUAAAAGUCCUAUGUUAAUCCUUAUGAUCUGUAUUGUGACUUGCCUGUUCUAUUCUUUCCUCGGGUGUUCUUGACAUAUAAUAAUAUCUCUAAAAGAAUAAAUUGUUUGUCUGUGUACAUACACAUGUGCAUGUGUGGGUAUGUCUGGCUGUGCACAAACAUGGAGGCCAGAAAACAACACUGGAUGUUUUAUCUCUGUCAUUCUCUGCCUAUUCCUUUGAGAGAGAGAGAGAGAGAGAGAGAGAGAGAGAGAGAGAGAGUCCUUGCCUAAAUCUAGGGUUUUCCAUUUUCUCAGCUAUGCUAGAAGCAAGCAAGCUCUAGAGAUCUUUCAGUCUGUGCUCCACAUUGAGAGCUGGAGUUACAGGCAUGCACUGGAUUCCUGACUUGUCAUGUGCAUACUGGGAUAUGACCUUGGUCCUCAUGAUUGUAUCACAGUGCUCUUAACUGCUGAGCAAUCUCUCUAGCUCCAAUCACCACCACCACCAUCAUCAUCACCAUUGUUGACAAGGACCUAAGUUUAUCUCUAACCUAGUUCUCCCCAUUUUUCAGGCCAAGUGUCUCCAUCCAAGGCUUCUAGCCCAUUAUCUCAUGAUUGUCGUGUUUUCAUUGUUGUUCAAUCCUUUGCACAGUGUGGAGAUCUGUGACUGUUUAGGUGACCAGUAUGAACCCUGGCCAAAGGUCUUUGAUCUGUGAUUGCUUUUGGUGACCAGUAUGAACCCUGGCCAAAGGUCUUUUCUACCCAGUGGGCAGAGCCAAUUGAGCCUUUUGUACAGGAGCUUUCUGAUUUGUGCAAAACUCUGGAGCAGAUUGUGAGAGGCACAUGUUCAUUGUAAUAGCUGGGUGUGUUCUGAUUGUGUGAGAUGAGGCAGGCAGGAUGGGAAGGUGGGAUGGUUUCUUAUUCUUACAUAUGGAGAACAUGGUCCUGUUUCAGAAGACAUGCCCUCAGCCUUCUGUGUGAUGAAUUAUAUCCACACGAAACCUGGCAUCUCAGGUCAUAGGUGAAAAACUAAUUAAUGCCAACCCAGUAUUAGAGAAUUUACAUUGAAUGUGGAAGGCAGAGUCCCUUGCUUGAUGUAUAAAAUAUCCUUAGUGCUUCAUUUGUAUACUAGGUCAGUAACAACAGAUAUAUCACACCAGGCUGGUACAUCAAAGCUCAGAUGGAGAAAGAGCCAGGAGGUGCUGGGAUGCAGAGGGAUAGAUCACAUAUCUAUAUGUGAAUAAAAGAUUUUAAGGAGGGGUAAUUAAAAGAGAGUGCACCAAAGUCCAACAACUCAGAGCAUAGAUCUCUUUCAAAUGAACAAGGGCAUGAAAAGAAAAAUUCAGAAAUGUAUCUAUUUUGAGACAAGAUAUGAAGUAGUUUUAAAAGAGGGUGAUGCAUUGGAUGGGGUAUAUUUCAAUAGAAGAGCAUUUACCCAGGUUGCCCAAAGCCUUAGGUCCCAUUUCUAACACCAUACCGACCCACCCACCCAGCCACCCACCCACCCAAGUAAGGUACACUAUAAUAGGUGGUCUGGAGGGAGCCUAAUACAAACAUUCCAUUCAUAGUAACUGUAAUUUAAUGAUGGUGUUUUGUGACUCUGUUUAGGUGCAAGUUUUGUUGCAGAUAUUAAGAAAUUAUUGGCUUAUUUGCUAUUGCCUGUAGAUCUAGAAAACACUGCCAUGUUCUCCAUCUUUGAAUGUCUUUAACAUUGUGUAUGUCUCUUUAUACAGUUUGAAAGAUUUGUAACCAUUUCCUUACUUGUUAUGUUAUUGGGAGAAAAUUCACCUUUAUACUAAGUUCAAACAUUUCAGGUUUAUAGAAAAUUUUAGCUUCAAACGAUUCUGGCAUUUGCAAGAUGUGGAAUUUUGGAGUCUAGCUUUGUCCAGCCUGGUUCUUGGGAAAAUGAAGUUUGUGUACGGAGAGGAGCAG